UUAUGAGCUCAUCAUUUUCUGAGUUAUCUCCAUAGUAAUGAAGACUGUUCUUCGAUGUAGCUCUCUUCCGUUUGGCAUUCUCUGUGCAAGGCGCCUACCUCAGACGCCGUUGCAUUCGAGAACAUCGCUUCUCCCGUCGUUCUGCACCAAUUUUUCAACCCUAGCGCUAGCCCUAGACAGGGAUCUCGCUUACGGACCUUCUCUUCAUAAGAGCAGAAGGUCAUCUCUUCAAGAACAAGCACAACAACACCAGCUUCCUCAGUCUCUUGUAAGAAUACCGAAUGAAGACGAGGGAGAACAAGAUAGUCUCAUCAACAAGGAGAGCUUCUCUCGUAUCUUCGACGUAGCUGCUAUUAGGGUUCCUUCAGAAAACUGUUUUGUCCUCGAAAACCGUUUAAGAGGCCAUCUCUUGAACUGGCCUCGAGUUCGGAACAUCGCUAGGGUUCCGGGGGAUGAAAUGGACGAUGAAUUUAGGAAGAUUUUGGGAAAGCAGUGCAACAACGGAGGCGGUGACGAAGAAGAAGAAAGGUUAGUUGCUUUGGACCGGCGUAUCUAUGGGGAAGCUGAUGGUGAUGGCGAGAGACUGAGCCCAAUUUUGUAUAGGGACAAGCUGGCUAAGACGUUCAAUUCCCGUGGUUUUGUGAAAUUCCGGAACCUUGCUAAGAUUUCGAGACCUAAAAGGAAGAACAAAAGAAAUGAGGGAGAGGAAAUUCAAGGGAAGAAGAAAAUUGGGAAGAACGAUUUUGCCGUGGUCGAGGUUAUUGAAGACAAUGAUGAAGAAGACGAUAUGAGCGGCCUUCUGGGAGAUGAUUUUAAAAGGGGAAGGUGGAGAGGUUCCACAAGGUUGCUGCUUCUGGACGAGCGAUAUGCUAAUGAAGGAGUCGAAGAGCUCCCCGAGGCUGUCAAGGCUGUGUUAAGAGGAGAUACCACGCAAACUUCAUCAAAAUGUGAACUCGUUCGAUGCAAGCUGACCUUGUUUUACGAUUAUUGGCAAAUGCAUGAGAUCUUAGAGGCCUUGCUACCAAAUGGUAUGAUUGUUCCUGCAGCUUUUGAAACAGUUGGACGCAUUGCACACCUGAACCUUAGAGAUGAACAUUUACCAUACAAGAAACUCAUUGCUCAGGUUGUCUUGGAUAAAAAUAAACCCAAGAUACAAACAGUUGUCAAUAAGGUUGAAGCCAUUCAGAAUGAAUACAGAACAAUGCAGCUUGAAGUUCUUUCUGGCAAUCAUUCCCUUGUAACUACUGUUGUUGAGAAUGGGAUUCGUUUCAAUGUUGAUUUGGCGACAGUAUAUUGGAAUUCAAGAUUGGCAACUGAAAGACAAAGACUUAUCAACUUCUUCACAAGCAAAGACGUUGUUUGUGAUGUUUUCUCUGGGGUUGGUCCAAUAGCAAUAUCUGCAGCAAAGAAAGUAAAGCGUGUAUAUGCCAAUGAUUUAAACCCUUCUGCGGUUGAAUAUCUGGAAAGAAAUUGUGUCCUCAACAAACUUGAGAGAAAAAUUGAGGUAUAUAACAUGGAUGGUAGGAGGUUCAUAAAUGCUAUGUUUGCGAGUGAAAAGGCAGAGUCCAUCACCCAAGUGGUUAUGAAUUUGCCAAAUGAUGCAACAGAGUAUCUAGGCUGUUUUUUACUAAAAGCUGAACGCGUACAUGUGGGCAUUGAUUUGAAUGGUUGCGUCUGUUAGUUUGUCAAAAUGGAUGUUAGCCAUUAUUAUCUGAAGCAGCCUGGACAUUGAACCAGAUAAGAUGCAUUCAGGGGCAUAUUUAGAGGGAGACCCGAGGAGAAAGAAACAACCUUGCCCAUUAUUCAUGUUUAUGGAUUCUCCAAAGCUCAAGAUCCUGAGUUUGACUUCCAUGAGCGGAUAAGUACUGCACUUUCGCAGGUAGCAGUUAUGGUAGAAAUGCAUAGGGUUCGCCUUGUUGCACCUGGAAAAUGGAUGCUUUGUGCGUCGUUUUCUCUUCC